rnacentral:rRNA from 1 species
UGGGGAAUAUUGGGCAAUGGAGGCAACUCUGACCCAGCCAUGCCGCGUGGGUGACGAAGGUCUUCGGAUUGUAAAGCCCUUUCGGCGGGGACGAUGAUGACGGUACCCGCAGAAGAAGCCCCGGCUAACUUCGUGCCAGCAGCCGCGGUAAUACGAAGGGGGCUAGCGUUGUUCGGAAUUACUGGGCGUAAAGGGCGUGUAGGCGGCCCGUUAAGACAGGUGUGAAAUUCCUGGGCUCAACCCAGGACGUGCGCCUGUGACUGGCGGGCUUGAGUCCGGGAGAGGAUGGUGGAACUCCCAGUGUAGAGGUGAAAUUCGUAGAUAUUGGGAAGAACACCCGUGGCGAAGGCGGCCAUCUGGACCGGUACUGACGCUAAGGCGCGACAGCGUGGGGAGCAAA